UCGCAGCCCGACUUGAGUGGAGCUCUUUUUGCAAAUUCAACAAUGGAAAAAGCCUUGGGAAUUUGCAAAAAAGCGGGAGCGGAAGGCGGAUAAAGC
rnacentral:misc_RNA from 1 species